UCCGUGGGCCUAUUGAUUGAC
rnacentral:siRNA from 1 species